rnacentral:rRNA from 1 species
UACGGAAGGGGCUAGCGUUGUUCGGAAUCACUGGGCGUAAAGCGCGCGUAGGCGGCUUGGCAAGUGAGGCGUGAAAGUCCUGGGCUCAACCUGGGGGCUGCGUUUGAUACGUGCAGACUUGAGUUCGGAAGAGGGUCGUGGAAUUCCCAGUGUAGAGGUGAAAUUCGUAGAUAUUGGGAAGAACACCGGUGGCGAAGGCGGCGACCUGGUCCGAUACUGACGCUGAGGCGCGAAAGCGUGGGGAGCAAACAGG